rnacentral:lncRNA from 1 species
AGGCUGAUGCACUUCCUGACACUCCUCCUGGAGGCCCACUCUCCCCCUGCCGCGGCCUCCCCAUCCGCCACUCUGCUCUUAACCUCAGCAAGUUCUAGGCCCCUUCCCAGCCUGGGUGAGGGGGACUCAGCAGCCUUCUCUGGCUCUGGGUCCAGCUUGGCCUUUUCUUCCCAGGGACUCUGGUCAUUGCUGGGGGUGACCCCAGAUGAGCCCCCCACCAGGGCUCUGGGGCUGCCCAUCUCCGGCUUCGAAAGCAUCUUCUCCUUCCGUUCACGGAUUUUCUUGGCCACCUCCAGGAAGUCCAAAUCAGGAUCAUGAAGAGGAGCCUCCGCCUUGACCAAACAGUCCCUGUCCAGCUUGGACGCUGCUCUGGGCCUCUCUAGCCCAGCCAUAUCCCCUGCUGUGGGUCCACUUCCUUCAUCGGCCACCUUCCUCAGCAAGGCCUCUUUGUUCUCAAACCGGGCCGUGAGGUCCAUGGACAAGGGCCUGGGCUUCCUCACCCACGUCUUCUCGGGAGGGGUGGGUGGCACUUUGCCCACUGUGGCCGCUGCGCCGGGGCCUGGCUUCUGAGGCUGAAUGGACUCCGUGAAAAUGGCAGACACGGGCCUUCUCUUCAGGCGAGGCCUGGGCUCCACAAGGGGGCGUGCCGUGUCCUCCACACUGCUGGCCUUUGAGGGAGGAUGGUCUUGGCCUGCCUCCUCUUGGGGUACAGGUGGUUUUGUGUCCUGAGACAGGGGAGCUGACCGGGGAAGGGUCCCCGCAGGCUUCUGGGUGGGCAGGGCGGGCUUGGCAGCCACCUCAGGCCGGGAGCCGGACACACCUAGCUUGGCCUCCUCCGCCCCCUCACUAACCGCCUUCCCCAGAGCGGGGCCGCUUUUGGUGGUUUCGAAGAGAAUCAUGGUGCUGGAGCUGGGCCGCAGGAACACAGCCUUGUUGAAGAGGGGCGAGCUCGUCCUCGGGCCCUCCCCACUGCCCACCUCCUGCCCCACCAAGCCGGGCAUCCUGUUGUCCAGAUCCUUUGCUGCUGGCUCCUCAGAGAGCCCCCCAGAGGGGGAAGGUCCAGUCGAACUGGGCCGCAGAGACGGGACAGGAGAUUUCACGUCCUGCUCCUUCGAGAAGGGUUUGGGGGCGAGCCUUGGCAGAGGGAGUAACCGGGCCGGGCUCCGCAGGGGGCUCUUCGCUUCCAAGAUCCGGGCUGGGGGAGCCCCAGAGGCUUCGCCGGCCUGGAGGAAGUAGGUCCUCGUCAGGGUCUCCUCCUUGCCCAUCUCACCCAGGCCUGGCACGGCCGUCAAGGGCGUUAUGGAGCCCACCUCGACCCGCGUGGCCAUGGUUAUGGUUGUGGAUUCAUGGGGGUUAGGAACUUCAAGAAUGGAGAAGCAAUUGCUAAACAAACAAAACAAACAAACAAGUAAAUUUGGAAAACAGUCAGUGUCUGGGUUGAAGCAGAAUGGUUUAGAGAAAUGGGACAGAGUCCUGAGCCCCAGAUUCCAUACGACAGCCCUCUGCUGACCUCACCCGGCAGGCUUGGGCCUGCCUCUCCCCGUCUCUGAGCUCUGGACGAGGGGAGUGGACUAAACGCCCAUCCCUGAAGUUCGUUCCAGCUCCAAGGGUGUAGAAAAGGCAUCAACACUCUGGAGGACUUUCCCCUGACAGCUAAUCUAGAGGCCAGCACUUAAUGGCAAAAAGCAGUGAUCUCUGCUACACAGAUAAGGAAACCAGCUCAGAGAGGCCAAGUAACUGGAGUCACCCAGGAAGCAAGAGGCGAAGUCAGGACUUAAAACCAGAGCCUGCCCACAUCCCAGGUGAUCCUAAUCACAAGUGUGUGCUAAGCAUCUAGCACAGAGAAGGCAAGUAACCUGCUGCAGGUCACACAGCAAUGCAGCUCAGGAGUGCCUGGGAGCACAAAGCUGGUUAGUGACCUUGGAACCCAUGCCCUAGGCACCAACCCCACCCAAUCAUCCCUUUGUCCCUUUUCUUUCCCCUCCCCCACCCUUCCAGAUGCCAUAAAAAGAAGCCAUUCUCAUUUUUCUCACUC